AGAUUGAACGCUGGCGGCAUGCCUAACACAUGCAAGUCGAACGGGAGUAGCAAUACUCUAGUGGCGGACGGGUGAGGAAUACGUAGGAAUUUGCCCUUAAGUGGGGGAUAACCCGGGGAAACCCGGAUUAAUACCGCAUGACCUCGAAAGAGCAAAGUGGGGGAUCGCAAGACCUCACGCUUUUGGAGAAGCCUACGUCGGAUUAGCUAGUUGGUGAGGUAAUGGCUCACCAAGGCGACGAUCCGUAACUGGUCUGAGAGGAUGAUCAGUCACACCGGAACUGAGACACGGUCCGGACUCCGUACGGGAGGCAGCAGGUGGGGAAUAGUUGGACAAGUGGGCGCAAGCCUGAU
rnacentral:rRNA from 1 species